GCAAUCAUAACUCAGUGGUAGAGUGCGGGAUUGCAGUUGCGAUGAAUAUCCUGAAGUCGCCGGUUCGAUCCCGGCUGGUUGCU
rnacentral:tRNA from 1 species